GGCUGCUUUAACAUGCAGUCGAACGGCAGCGCGGGGCAACCUGGCGGCGAGUGGCGAACGGGUGAGUAAUAUAUCGGAACGUACCCAGAAGUGGGGGAUAACGUAGCGAAAGUUACGCUAAUACCGCAUACGAUCUACGGAUGAAAGUGGGGGACCUUCGGGCCUCAUGCUUUUGGAGCGGCCGAUAUCUGAUUAGCUAGUUGGUAGGGUAAAGGCCUACCUAGGCGACGAUCAGUAGCUGGUCUGAGAGGACGACCAGCCACACUGGAACUGAGACACGGUCCAGACUCCUACGGGAGGCAGCAGUGGGGAAUUUUGGACAAUGGGCGCAAGCCUGAUCCAGCAAUGCCGCGUGAGUGAAGAAGGCCUUCGGGUUGUAAAGCUCUUUUGUCAGGGAAGAAACGGUUCAGGCUAAUAUCCUGGGCUAAUGACGGUACCUGAAGAAUAAGCACCGGCUAACUACGUGCCAGCAGCCGCGGUAAUACGUAGGGUGCAAGCGUUAAUCGGAAUUACUGGGCGUAAAGCGUGCGCAGGCGGUUUUGUAAGUCUGACGUGAAAGCCCCGGGCUCAACCUGGGAAUUGCGUUGGAGACUGCAAGGCUUGAAUCUGGCAGAGGGGGGUAGAAUUCCACGUGUAGCAGUGAAAUGCGUAGAGAUGUGGAGGAACACCGAUGGCGAAGGCAGCCCCCUGGGUCAAGAUUGACGCUCAUGCACGAAAGCGUGGGGAGCAAACAGGAUUAGAUACCCUGGUAGUCCACGCCCUAAACGAUGUCUACUAGUUGUCGGGUUUUAAUUAACUUGGUAACGCAGCUAACGCGUGAAGUAGACCGCCUGGGGAGUACGGUCGCAAGAUUAAAACUCAAAGGAAUUGACGGGGACCCGCACAAGCGGUGGAUGAUGUGGAUUAAUUCGAUGCAACGCGAAAACCUUACCUACCCUUGACAUGGAAGGAAUCCUGGAGAGAUCU
rnacentral:rRNA from 1 species